GAUUUUAAUUGCAGCUACAACCGAGUGUUGUAUGGCCAAAUUACCUGUUUUUUCCUGACCUGUGUGUAAAACCUGUUACAUUAAAUUAGAAGUUACAAGGACAUAAUGUAUUUUCCUAAUUGUACAAUCACUAGUCAACAAAACUGUUUUCUAACAGUGCGGAAAACUCUCGAAAUGGUUGCUACGCAAGAGACCGCUCAAUUCUACGAUCAGCAGCACCAGACUUCUGAUGAUAAUGAUGCAGUACUAUUAGCGCAGAUUCCGACCGAUGAGCUGAUGGUUAUUGACAGUAUGUUUUCCCAGGAUCUACUGAAAGAAGAUAUGGAGCAUUGCGAGCAAUUGAUUAUGCCGCCUGCCACACCAAUGUACAUGUUGGAUCAUAUGGAUAAAACGCCUACUUUGGAGGAGUAUUACGAUCCCGUGUUCGAUUUCAACGUUGAUUUUAACGGGGAAAGUAGCAGCAAAUCCAACUGGUUUUUUUCUUCUUCGCUCAAAAAAGUAUACGUUAAGAUGGGACAGACGUGCACUUUCAAUGUUUCAUACCAGUCACUUAACUAUCAGGAUCUCUUUGUACGAAUUAUGCUGGUCUGCUCAGCACCGGAGGAUAUGCACCAACCAAUAUAUCGUUGUCAAAAUCAUCGUUGUAAUGAUAAUACAAAUCCUAAAGAGGUACAGGCCCAUGUGAUGCGUUGCUACAAUCCAACCGCCACUUACGUCGGUGUUGAGACUGGUGUAGCGUAUAAAGACCGCUUGGCAGUGUUGAUACCGCAAAUAAAUUCGGUACAAGAUCAUGUCUCCCUUAAUGUUUCGCUGAGCUUUCUCUGUCAAAAUUCCUGUCGAAUCAUUAGUCGUCGUUCAACGGCUAUCCUUUUUGUUCUGGAGGACGGUAAUGGACGCAUACUGGGUAAAAAGUCCUUAUAUUUGAAGGUGUGCAGCUGUCCGAAGCGGGAUAAAGAAAAGGAAGAACAAGCAUUGGUACCGACGAAACGUAAAAACCCUGAUUCAUUGCCUGGCUCCUCGGCAGAGAAAAAGCCGGCUAGAGAGUCUAUCGCACACAGCCAUCCUUCUGACCAGAUUUUAUCGGGAAAAUUGGCCUCUAUCAAGAAAGAACAAAGGUCACACGAAUCAUCGCCGACAGCAAGAAAACAUCGUCAUCGCCGUCAUCAUGCGAGACGUGCGCGAUCGCUGACACCUUACAGAAGCCAAGAACUAGUAGCUCACACGGCUACUACGAUUACUGUACCGAUGCCGAGCCUACAAGCGGCCGUCAAGGUGGCCGAAUACGCGUUCGGGGUUGUCGCAGGAGAAUUGGUGCGAUGUGCUAGUGAGGAAGAACGUAAGAACUUAGCUGCCUAUCUGACCCAGAUCCGCCGGCUGCAGAGUAAGUACGAGCAGUAUCUUUAAAAAAGCUUUAACCCUUUGUUGGAUCUGAUCGUAUAACUAUAAUAAGUUGUUAUCUAGGCUAGGAACUUAAGAGUUAUUCCACCAUUCGACAUUCGAAGAAAACUUGAAGCACUUGUUUUGAAGUGGAUCACUAUGGGUUAUUAUCCUUCCAGACUGUUGAAAAAGAUGUCUAAUACCAUGAUUGCCUUUCUAUAACGAUAAAAUGUGAUGUGCAGGGCAAAUAAAAAUAAUCAAGAAUACUACAAACAAAGGAAAGGAAUUAUGUAAAUAAUUGGUGCCAUUAAACAUGUGUGGCAUAAACCAUUAAAAAACUACUUAACUAUUGCAAAAGGCAUCCAAAUAGUCACUUCAAAUUCAUAUUCAAUAUUAAACAUUUGGAGUUUUUGAUUUACUCGAUUUAUUCCUACAGCGGGGUCUACUACGAAAGGCUGAAACUCAAAAGGCUGAAACACGAAAGGCUGAAACACGAAAGGCUGAAAUCACGAAAGGCUGAAAGCUACAUAAGGCUGAAUCACGAAAUGCUGAAAAUCAUAAGGCUAAAAUUCACAAAGUUCAUUUCUAAAAGAACACUCGCAGCCUACGGCCGACUCGAUUGUCCGAGAUGUAUGCUGUCCUUACUCGCUAUCGCUCGUUCGGACUAAACUAGGGGAUCACACUCGCGGCCUUCAGCCGUCUUGCCCUGAAUCAUCUAGGAAACGCGUACAAGAGUCAAGUGUGUAUAGAUUCAAAUGUUGCCGAAAAUUAAUUUUCCAUUGCACAAACCAAAUAAUACUCAAACAUUGUACUCUGUCACCUUAUAAAGGUUUGUUAUCCAUGUGUCCGAAUUUUUCAACGAUUAUGAUUCAAGUUACAAAAGUUUCAGCCUUUCAUGUUUCAGCCUUUUGUGGUUUCAGCCUUGUGCAUUUAGCCUUUCGUUAUGAAACAUACUUUUUAGCUUUUCGAGUUUCAGCCUUUCGGGUUUCAGCCUUUUGAGUUUCAGCCUUUCGUUACUAACCCCCGGCUCUAUUAUCGUCAGGUUUUACCUUUCAUCGUCAGGGGGUGAAUGAUAUGCUAGAGCGUUAAUUUCUUGCACGAUGGUACUACAUAAUUGUAAUGUAUUACUAGAAUAACACGCGUUUACUGAGUCAAAUACAUUUAUUUAAAACUUCCAUUCGCACAUGGUUUUUUCUCUAUCCACUCUUGUUGACAACUCAGGUUGCAUCAGAAGAGUCGAGGGGUGCCUUGAUGGUGUUUAUUACCUAUACCACAAUAAUGCAGAAGAUUAGUUCUUUAUGACUUCAUUAACCCCCCGGAUGAAAAUUGGACAAACCUGACGAUAAUAUAUAUAUAAACAAAAUCAUGCAUGAUCAAUGAGAAAAAAACUGUCUCAUGAAUCAUCAAAAAAGUAGUCAUCAUGAAUGACGCCACAUUUUAGAGAAGGAGUUCUCAGAUCGUGCUUCGCGGAGCUCUUGGUUUUCCGCGAAGCUUUUGCGGGUGCUCUGCAACAAAAACCAACCUCGAAAAACAGACUUCAUUUCGGUCGAAUGAUAACCGCUUUUGCCCGGCAUAACACUUUAUAAGCUAAAUGUUUGACGGAGCACAUGCAUUUAUAAAUUAAUGAAAAAAUGUCCUCAAUUUUCUAACGGAUUCAAAACUGUAGGUGCUCUGCCAAAUAUUUUGGCUUGAAGAAAUGGAGCGUCGAAAAACCGUGACUGAGCAAAAAGCUUACUGAUCAUUAAGGUGUUGUAACUUGAGGCGCCCUAAUUCCGUGCGGCUCUUUACUCCGUGCGUUUCGGAUCAAAAUGUAAAAAAAAUAUGUAUGAUUUGCAAAAAGAAUGUUUUGAGGUGUUUUUCUGUACACAGAAAAUCAUUUUCAAACAUCCUUUUUGAAAAAUCUUAUAUUUGAUAUUUUUUCACAGUUGACACUAAGUGCACGGAAUAAAGAGCCGCACAGUAUUAGGGCGCCUCUCGAUAUACAUAGUUUGAAUUAUCGCUUCCUGUGCUUACUGAGAAAAGUAACGGAAAUGAUAAUUCAUUUAUUAUUAUAGAAAAUUAACGCCAUCUAAAAAUAUGCACUCCCAAUGAUGUGCAGACGAUUGCAAUUAACGUAUGUCGUAUGUCCAAUACAAUGAAUCUUUCGAAUGUCAAAUAAUAUCCAAAUCCAGAUUUUGUAACCUCGAAAAACCCUGUAUGUUAAAUUUCAGCUAAAUCUGAUCCCAUUUAGAUGAACCGAACGUGAUCGAUCAAGGACCGAUCUUAACUACUAUUCCCGUCAUUCGCCGACCUUUUUUUAAAUAGCUCUUAUUAUUAGAACGUUAGUAAAAAUCAGUUCCUUGAAGCAGCAAUUUUCUUUGCGUAAAAAAUCAGUAUAGGGGACACAUAAUAAUUGGCACAUAAAAAAUAAAAGAGGAGAACUAAUUCCUUGAAACAAAUCAAAGCGUACCAUACCAUUCAUUUCUCAUGCUAUUAAAACAAAUAAAAAUAGUGGAAUCAUGGCUGCGUGACCUUUAAGUUUCAAACCUAAUUAUCAUUUAAUGUUUUUCAUCUUAACUUUGCUGUUCGUAAACUUUAUGACUUUCACUUUGAGCCUAAGCAGAUUUAUGGACGUAGUAAAAAGCUAAAAAUAAUAUUCAGGUUUGAUUCUAAAAAAUAUAUUCUUUGGCAUUCAAAAGACAAUCUAAGACUUAUGUUUCGUAUGCGAUUCGCGCGGUUUUCGCAAUCAAAACAUCUGACGACAAACGUUUCUUUUCCCUAUUUUUGUUUACGGCCGUAUUCGUCUUUCGUACGAAAAGAUCGAUUCGAACGAAUUGGAAAGUGCUAAUCCUGUUUUCGAUUGAGCUAAAUUUAGAGAUAUUUGAAAGUUUCUGAUUUUUUCGUACGGUUGUGAUACGUCCGCAAAUAAUAAAAUAAGGGUGAUUUCGUCCAUCUUGUGAGAGCUACCAACAGAAUAACGUUGAUCAGAACGUACGAUUUGUGCACCAGCUGCAGGAGAUUUAAACCGGCGUGAGUGAGGUCGGGUACGAUAUACCCGAGAGCUUUUAUGCCAUAAAGCUAAUUACUUGAUCACAACAUUAAGAACUGGAUGUUAUGGGUAUCUUCUACCCACCUAAUCCACGACGGGUUAAAUAAUUUGCGUUUAAAAACUUGUCGGGUAUACUGUACCUUACUUAGGCCGGGUGAAACGAGUCAAAAAAAAAACUACGAUUCGUUCUUUUAAUUUAGAAUACCUGCCCAAUGUAGAUAUUCUUCAAUAUUCGCGUAGAAUUUCUGCAAAAUAUUCAGAAAAUUCAAAAUAUCUGUUCAGAUUUCAUUUCCAGUUUCGAAAUCAAAAUAAUGUGCAAAACUAUGCAUGCCUGUCAAUCGAUAUCAUGUGAUCCUUACCAAUUCUCGACAGAACAUUAUUCCGUAGCCUUUUAUUUUGUCGAAUAUAAUUUUCACUGUUCUACAAUAGUCACUGUUUAAUAGUUUUAGAAAAAUCCGAUUAGCAAUGUUUUUUUUUUGCUUGGUUUUAAUUCAGGCUUGUGAGUUAUCAAAACAAAUAUUCUAGUUAGUGUUAUAAAAGUCGACAUUUAUAUUUUACUCAGUUGAAUAUUUUAAAACUUCAUUUACUUAUUAUUCAGUAGAUCUUAAUACUGAAGCGAAAAAAACAACAAAGGUUCAAGGGGUCAUAUACCUUUUUGCUCGAAUAAGAUAGGAAAAUUUUAAGCGUGUAGAAUUUUUUUAUUAUAUUGAACUCCUAAUUUUCUUACAGUACAAUUUCUCACCAACAAAAAAAAAAUAUUUGUUUAAGAAAAAUAUCAAUAAUUGAUGAAGAUAUGACCGUCUCCAUAAAAAAUUGUUUUAAGAGACUUGCUGUGUUCACGAUGGAGUUAUACCGAGUACGUGAACGAUCAUUAUUUACAUGAGUAUUUUGUUUUCACUGCAAACGGGAACGUUUUUCCUGAAUAAUCCAUGUUUGGAGCGCUAAAAAUUAAAUAAUUUUUUUCGGUUAGGUAAAACUUUGUCUUUCAAAAAAUGAUUGUUCAAGGACCGACGACGUUGAAAACGAACGCAUUAAAAAAAAGUCAGGAAAAUCGGCUCAAUCGUUUUUCAGCAAUUGGUGAACACGGCAGUCAUUUUUUUGCAAAACACCAUUCCGGAAUAACUUUAUACCCGAGUUUGAUGUUCAGCUUCUGCGGCCGCGAAGAGACGCGCUUCAAAGCGCUGUAAUUUUCUGUCUAUUGCUCAGAUCUCUAUGGAAAUCUGUGAAAAGUUUUUCAAGAAAUUGUACUUUAAGAUAAUGCAAUAAUUUUUAUUCGAUUUUUUGUAAAUCAAAAGAUAUAUAACCCCUCAAAAACAAAUAUCGAAGGUAAUACGAAACUUAGUAUUAUGUAAAUGAAUAACGAUGUGAUUUUCUAAUAAUGAUUGUAGGGUACCUACCGUACAGCCAAAAUAAAUGCGACCUAUCAUACUUCGUGGCUUACCCACAGUAUUAAAAACCACGUCUUAGGAAAGACCAUGUUUACUUUGUUUCUACGCGUAGGUAUUUCAAAAUAAAUAGUGUUCAGAAGUUGUCUGGCGUUGGCGUUGUCUGCGCCUUGUUGUAUAUUUUUGGCUUUGAUACGACAUUUCGGUGGAUAUAUUUCAUCAUCCGAACCUAAAGUACCUCAAGUCACACCCACUUGCUCAAACACUUCAUCCAUCCGAAAACUAUUUACCCGAAUGCUCUAUCCACUUGAUAUUUUGUGUUUUAUCCGUUUCAUGAGAAGUUUCAUAAUGACUAUUCGCCCAAAAACACUCUAUCACCUGAACCACUGGUAUCAAUUUAGUUAUAUUGAUGAUUGAAUGACAAAUCUAUUAUCAUCCAGAAUAACAUUAUUAAUGUAUGUAUAAAUUUUUCUAGAAAUUAUGUUCCAAUAAAGAUGUGUUGAAAUAGUUCUGCUGACAAAGCAAAAAAAAAAUAUUUUUUGUGAGGAAUAUUCACGGCUACGGUUGUUGCCUAACAUUGUAACCGAAAUAAAAACGUGGUUUAUGAGUGUGAGUUCUAAAGACAGUGCAAAAGAUAACAAUAAUGUAAAACAAUAAAAAUAAAAUGUAUUAUGUAAUGUAAGUUGUGAGCUGGAUUAGAAUAUAAUGUACAAACAGUGUGUAAAUUUUAUUAGAUAGAAAAAUAUGCAUCUACUUCGAAAGCGAAGGCAGAGCACGUGAUGUUAACCAAUCUUUUUACAUUUCAUUUGAGAAUGGCUAUGUAAGAUGUGAUAAUUGCCCAAAAUAACAAUUGUUAUAUUUGGUUUCGAAAUAAGAGCUACUGUGAAAGAAGAGAAAGCUCACGUCCCAUGAAAAGCAAACAAAACAUAAAACUGGGCAAUUAAAAAAAAGCUUUUGCAACAGGUGUGUCUUUAUAUGUAUUUUAACAAAACACAAAAUAUCGUAAUGGAUUUGCAGAUGUCGCAGAAUUUCAUGUAAUGUUGUUUUUUUCAAGUUCAAGGUUUGAGUGUAAAUUAGAUACGAAGAAGAGUAACUUUUGUAAUUCGAGUAAUUGUUUCAUUGUUCUACAAACAUUGGAUAUUCUACUAUAUCUAUCGGGUUAUCGAUUUCGGGGGAUGAAGUAGAUGAACUAUUCUCAAAUCAAUAGAACAAUCGGAUCAACGAUUUUGUAUCCUAGGGAUAUGUGAGAUACAGCGCGCGUGAAAAUGGAGUUGCUUUAGAGAGCAGCGCUUCGUGCUGGAGAUAAGAACACAUUAUUUGGAAAAACAAAAUUAUCAAAUGAUUGUUGAAAUCACAAAUGAUACUGCCGGUAGGCUCGUCGGUCUGCAAUAUGCAGUCAAAGUUGUUUAAAAUAAAGAAUAGACCAAA